AGGGACCUACAACGAUCAUCUCAUCCAACUGCCUGAGAAAUCUAGGGCUGGCCAAAAAUUAGAGUAUGUCAUUAAGGGCAUUGUGCAAAUGCCUCAAACACUGACAGGCUUGGAGCAUUGCCCACCUCUCUAGAAAACUGUUCUGGCGUUUGACCACACUCAUGGAAGCUGCUCCUCACAGGACAUGCCUUCCAGCCCCCUCACCAGUUUUGUUGCUCCCCUAUGGAGGCACUUGAGUACCUUAACAGCCUUACAUUGUGGGACCCAGAACUGCACACAGCACUCCAGGAAAGGAGGAAACCACACAUAAGCUACCAGAUGGAUAAUCCUUGUAGUCAAUUGAGGAGCAAGUGAGCCAGAACAUUCUGCACACAACAGAAGCCCUCUCUGAUCACGUAAAGAGUUUGUUUAGAAAUGAAGAUGGCUAACAAGAAGCACAGCUGCCACAUUUUUUCUCAGAUUAUCUGUACCUUUCCAUGUGGUAAUGACAAAUUAAAUCUGUAUUAAUUCA